rnacentral:rRNA from 1 species
UACGGGGGGGGCAAGCGUUGUUCGGAAUUACUGGGCGUAAAGGGCUCGUAGGCGGCCAACUAAGUCAGACGUGAAAUCCCUCGGCUUAACCGGGGAACUGCGUCUGAUACUGGAUGGCUUGAAUCCGGGAGAGGGAUGCGGAAUUCCAGGUGUAGCGGUGAAAUGCGUAGAUAUCUGGAGGAACACCGGUGGCGAAGGCGGUUCUCUGGGCCUGUACUGACGCUGAGGAGCGAAAGCGUGGGGAGCGAACAGG